UUUCAUGAUGAUAAUUUCACAUCUUUUUCUGGUGAAUAUAAUGAGCCUUGGAAAAUAACAUGCAUCACCAACUGAUC
rnacentral:snoRNA from 1 species